GGUCCCGUCGUCUAACGGUUAGGACACCAGGUUUUCAUCCUGGCAAUCGGGGUUCGAUUCCCCGCGGGAUCACCA
rnacentral:tRNA from 1 species